rnacentral:rRNA from 1 species
AGUGAACGCUGGCGGUAGGCCUAACACAUGCAAGUCGAACGGCAGCACAGUAAGAGCUUGCUCUUACGGGUGGCGAGUGGCGGACGAGUGAGGAAUACAUCGGAAUCUACUUUUUCGUGGGGGAUAACGUAGGGAAACUUACGCUAAUACCGCAUACGACCUACGGGUGAAAGCAGGGGAUCUUCGGACCUUGCGCGAUCGAAUGAGCCGAUGUCGGAUUAGCUAGUUGGCGGGGUAAAGGCCCACCAAGGCGACGAUCCGUAGCUGGUCUGAGAGGAUGAUCAGCCACACUGGAACUGAGACACGGUCCAGACUCCUACGGGAGGCAGCAGUGGGGAAUAUUGGACAAUGGGCGCAAGCCUGAUCCAGCCAUACCGCGUGGGUGAAGAAGGCCUUCGGGUUGUAAAGCCCUUUUGUUGGGAAAGAAAAGCAGCAGGUUAAUACCCCGCUGUUCUGACGGUACCCAAAGAAUAAGCACCGGCUAACUUCGUG